UACGUAGGGUGCAAGCGUUAAUCGGAAUUACUGGGCGUAAAGCGUGCGCAGGCGGUUUUGUAAGUCUGUCGUGAAAUCCCCGGGCUCAACCUGGGAAUUGCGAUGGAGACUGCAAGGCUAGAAUCUGGCAGAGGGGGGUAGAAUUCCACGUGUAGCAGUGAAAUGCGUAGAGAUGUGGAGGAACACCGAUGGCGAAGGCAGCCCCCUGGGUCAAGAUUGGACGCUCAUGCACGAAAGCGUGGGGAGCAAACGAGGAU
rnacentral:rRNA from 1 species